GCGGUCGUGGCGAAAUUGGUAUACGCAACGGACUUAAAAUCCGUCGUCUUUUUAGACUUGCGGGUUCAAGUCCCGCCGACCGCACCA
rnacentral:tRNA from 2 species